rnacentral:tRNA from 2 species
GGGACGAUAGCUCAGUCGGUAGAGCAACUGGCUUUUAACCAGUGGGUCCAGGGUUCGAGCCCCUGUCGUCCUACCA